AAGACUCGGAAGAUGCAUUGCACAUGUCCAUGGAGUGAAAGAGGACAGAUCGCGGUUUAGAGCUGAGCUCAGUGGCGCUUUUGAUGCUGAGACCUCAGAAAUGUAAGCUCAACAAAAACUGCCAAGUGAGUGUUGCUUUUCCUCAUCAAAUGUCACAAUGGAGGUGGAGCCCAUCAAAAGUGAAGUCACCAAGAAUGCUGAUUGGAGAGGCAGGAGCAGCGGCUCAGUGGUAAAGAGGACUUACUGCUCUUUCAGGGGCUCCAGCUCCAGGACCUGCUGCUCUCUUCUGGCUUCCAUGGGUACCCACAGGCACUUACCAGAUGUCCUCACAUGCUUGCUGUCCACCCAUGUAAACAUACAAGCAUACAAGGAGGGAAAUGCUGGUUUGAAAUGGUGAAGGAAGAAUCUUAAGGAAUUGAUUUUAACGGAUCUUCUUUUUAAAAAAAAAAAAAUAGGUUGAUUCGUUUCUGAUUUCUGUCCCUGUGAAAACUCGCUUUUUCUUUGGAAGAGAAAUUUUAUCACAGUAACUGAGGAAUGCCUCUUUUUAAAGCAAAAGAAUGUCAUCACAAUGGAACAUCUGGUGUUAGGACAGAAUAUCCCCUGCCUCCAGAUCCACAUUGUCUACCAUGCUGGAUCCUCCCUGUAUUAAAGCAGAUGUUGAGAACAUGCCCUUAUGCUGGAAAUAUUUUCCAGGAUGGCAGGUGUACAUGGACAGGUAAAUGAAUCUCACAAUACCACAGACAUCCGGAAUAUGAAGAUUUUGGUUAACCGAGGAAAAGAAUUGUUGUCCUGUGUGAUUUUGGGAACCUGAAGAUCAUAUCUGCCUUAUUCCUCCACUCUUCUUCCAUGAAAUGAUCCCAUAGGCUCCUGUGUUUGAACACUUGGACUUCAUGGUGGUGCUGUUUGAGGAGGCUGUGAAACUCCAGGAAGUAGAACCUCAUAAGAGGAAAUAGUUCCCCAGGGGCAAGCCCUUGAGUCUUCCUAGCUAGAGCCCACUUCCUGUUUACUCUCUGCUUCCUGAGUGUGAGUGAAGCUGACUAGCUCUCUUUGGCCUGUGAUGCUGUCCCCGGCUCUCUACCCCAGACUUGCAAGCCAAAUAAAUCUUACCCUACC
rnacentral:lncRNA from 1 species